AUACUUACCUGGCAGGGGGCGACACCCUGAUCAGGAAGGUGGUUCCCCCAUGGCAAGGUCUGGCCAUUGCACUCCAGUCUUGGGCUGACCCGUGCGAAUUCCCCACAUGCGGGAAUCUCGACUGCGUAAUUUCUGGUAGUGGGGGACUGCGUCCGCACUUUUUUCCA